GCCGGGCGUGGUGGCUCACGCCUGUAAUCCCAGCACUUUGGGAGGCUGAGGUGGGUGGAUCACCUGAGGUCAGGAGUUUGAGACCAGCCUGGGCAACAUGGUGAAACCCCAUCUCUA
ensembl:misc_RNA Metazoa_SRP Metazoan signal recognition particle RNA